rnacentral:rRNA from 1 species
CAGUAGGGAAUCUUCCACAAUGGGCGAAAGCCUGAUGGAGCAACGCCGCGUGAGUGAAGAAGGAUUUCGGUUCGUAAAACUCUGUUGUAAGGGAAGAACAAGUACAGUAGUAACUGGCUGUACCUUGACGGUACCUUAUUAGAAAGCCACGGCUAACUACGUGCCAGCAGCCGCGGUAAUACGUAGGUGGCAAGCGUUGUCCGGAAUUAUUGGGCGUAAAGCGCGCGCAGGUGGUUUCUUAAGUCUGAUGUGAAAGCCCACGGCUCAACCGUGGAGGGUCAUUGGAAACUGGGAGACUUGAGUGCAGAAGAGGAUAGUGGAAUUCCAAGUGUAGCGGUGAAAUGCGUAGAGAUUUGGAGGAACACCAGUGGCGAAGGCGACUAUCUGGUC